rfam:Triticum aestivum genome assembly, contig: Triticum_aestivum_CS42_TGACv1_scaffold_343011_4DL
CAAUUACUCCCUCCGUUCGGAAUUACUCGUCGCAGAAAUGGAUGUAUCUCGACGUAUUUUAAUUCUAGAUACAUCCAUUUCUGAGACAAGUAAUUCCGAACGAAGGGGGUAGGUG